UGUUGUGAGCCACCAGGGAACGUUGUUCGUGUGUAUGCGUUAGUAUGCGUAUGUAUUAGUGAUAUACGACUGUUCCAAAGCAGAAAUUUUCAGCGGCGCCACUGCUAGAAAAAACGAAACACAAAACAUCAAUAGAUUCAAAGUGCUCAGUGAGUUUUUACGCCCAGCCAACAGCAAAACACAUUCUUUUCCUUCCUUUUGCUGCAUUAAAACAUUUAUUUAUUUAACCCAGUCGAUUCAAUUUUAGUUUCAAUGUGAAAAAAAUUACCCAAUUUUGCAAUCAAAUGCAAAUAAAUUUUCGUUAAAUUGAAUUUCGGAUUUUCGUUGUAAAUUCGUUUGUGUAUGUGUGUAUAUGUGUGUGUGUAUGUGAAAACAUAAAAUGAGUAAUAUUAAUAAAUGCUGCUGCGUCUCGACUGCCAUAUAAACAAAUACGAACAGGAACGAAAUAAAAAAAAGAAACCUAUUCACACACCUUCAAACGAGUAGUACAGAGUAGAAGGUGCAUCUAUCCGUCGUUGUUGACUCCAUUGUGUGUACUUUUCUCUCUGCUUUUUACAUGUCAAACGGCGUUCGCGUUAGUCAUCGCCAAACAAUUUUGUGUGUUUAUUGUUGCGUUACAAAUUUACUGUGUGUACGAACUGCAAAUUUAAAGUGAAAAACCCCAAAUUCCUAUUUUGGUUUUUAUUUUGCUUUCAAUUUUGGGUUUGAAAAGAAAGAAAAAAAAUUGUCCAGCGAAAAAAAACAACAAUAUUAAAACAACAGACAAAUAGAGACAAACAUGAGUACGAUUGGUGAUUUUGGUACGCUUUCGCUAAAAUGGGAUCUGAAAAAUUUGGAAAUUCGUACGAUGUCGGUGGAGAAAACACUUGAGCCACUUGUGUUGCAAGUUACAACGUUGGUCAACACAAAAGGACCCAGCAAAAAGAAGAAAGUGAACUACUAAAUAAGCAAGAAAAAAAAACACAACUACAAAGCGGCAAGUGAAAUGCCAUCAGUAUUGGCCAGACCGAAUCGGACCGGAGCACACAAUGACAUUGAACGAUCUUGGCCUAACGGUAGAAUAUUUAAAAUGCGAAAACUAUACAAACUUUUCGAAGCGAACAUUUCGUCUGACCGACACGGAAUCAUCGAAAUCACGCGAAGUAAUCCAGUUCCACUAUACCAGCUGGCCGGAUUUCUAUGUUCCUAGCUCUCCGGUGGCCUUUUUGCAAUUUUUGAAAAAGGUACGAGACUCAGGCGCAUUGAAUUCCGACGUUGGACAAGCGGUCGUACACUGUAGCGCCGGCAUCGGACGAUCCGGAACGUUUUGUUUAGUCGAUAGUUGCUUAGUGUUGGUGGAAAAAGACGGGAAAAACAAGAUAAGUGUUCCUGAUUUGUUGCUUAAACUACGACGAUCGCGAAUGCCAACCACUUCACCACCGAUUAUACUCUUUAUACAUUCAAAAAGCGUCUCAAGAAAUUAGUUCUUACCUGAUCGAUUCGUGACUUCUUUUCUCUCUAUAAUCAAUUUAAAUAACUCCUUAACCCUCUUAAUUCAUCUUAAAAUUGCUUAAAAUCUAAUGAAAUUGUGAUAAUAUUUUUUAAUAAAUAUAAGGAAAACAAACCAAUUGCAAUUGACAAAAAAAAAACAUUAAAAAUUGGUCCUAAAAUUGUAUAUAUAUGGACUGGUAAUUUAUUUAGAUACCCCAAUAUUCUCGAACAAAAAUUAAAAAUGUAAUCAAAAUGAUAGAAAAAAAAAAUUUGUCUAAUGAUUUGGGAGUAGUGUGGUCAUAACAUGUAAAGUCAUUUCAAUAGUAGAUCUCAACCAUUGUAUAAUUUAGUUCGGACCAAUUGUAUUUUUCAUAUCAAGCAAUCAUUGGAGGAAUCAAGCAUUUCAACGAUCCAACCUUCGGCGACCAUGACGAAGUUCCAAAAAUUGACAACGAAGACUAUAGUACUGAAACGGAUCCGCCUAGACCACCGCCACGGUGAACAUCAAUAUUACAGUCACAACAUAAACCACUGCCAACUGUACCAACAAAUGAUAACGACCAUGUAUCGGUUAAUAAUAAUAAUAACUCGGAGAAUGGUGAUGGAACGCGUUCUGAACGCCCGUUGCCACCAUUGCCCGAUGAGUCGCCAGAUGAUAGCGAUAGUGAAGACAUCGAGGAUGAUUCAGAUGAGGACAUGAGCGACGAACAAGAUGUUGAUUUAGAUGAUGACGACAACGACGACGACGAUGGUGUGGAUGAUGACGAACAAGCAACUACGGAGCAAACCACAAAAUUGCUCAACGGAACUAGUAGUAAUGGAAGCAAUGAGUGUGAAGACAGUUUCAAUCCGGAUGCAACGUUACCACCGUCACCAACAAAAAUGUCAACCACAAGCCUCACCGAAUUCAACAAUUCGAAUUCAUCACUGGAAACACCGUCAUCACCGGAGAACGACAGUGGAUUGACGUCGACUGCUGAACUCCGACGACGAAAACGAAAGGAACGCAAUGCAGACAUCGAGGCGAAAAUUAAGGAUAUCAAGAGAAAACAGAAAGAAACGGAGGCUGCUGCUGAAGCAGCACCAAAAAAACGCAGGUGCCACAUGAUUUUUUCUGGUGUUGUUGUUUGCGUUAUUUGUUGUGCAAAUGUAUACUCGAAGUUCGGUCAAACGAAAAUCAUUUUUCCCCUUUCCCCAUUUAAAAAAAAAAAAAACCAAUUCGAAUAAUUUUCUUUUAAUUACUUUUUUUUUCUUCUCCAAAUUGCAAUUCAAAACGUGUUCUAUGUAAUCUCCGCCAAUUUUCUUUUCCGUUUCUUCGCGACUUCUCAAUUUUUAUUUUGAAGAAUUAUUCCAUUUGAAAAUACAAAGAAUAGAUACAAUUGUCUUCUCUUAUGGACUAGGAAUUUACAUGAAAAUGAGAACUAAAUCAUUUUAUCCACUCUUUUAAUGGGACAAGAAACUCCUUUGGUUUAUUCCGCGUAAUUUUCCUCCCCUAAUCGGAUAGAUAGAUGUGUAUUUUUAUUUAUCAUCGUUGUCAUGCAAGAAACAUUCGAAAAUUUGAAAAAUGAUUCCCCUUCCCCCAAAAAACAAUCGAUUGAGAGCCAGAAAAGAUGAUCCGAAUUGAUUGACUAAAUUUUAAGAUGAAAGUGAAAGAUGAGAUAUUAACUAAGGCUACAUGGCUUGAAAUGAUUUAUAUAUAUAAUAUGUAUGAAACCAGGUAAAUGCCACAGACUGAUAAGCAAUUAACCUUUGAACAAAACAAAACAAAACAAAAACAAAUCAAACGGGGAAAAAAAGUCUUUAAUAAAAAUGAACUUAUUUGUAUAUAUGAGAAACCUUUUGAGAAUAUGUGAACAAACAGGAACUGUAGCAUUUUCGAAAUUGUCCACCAUAAAAUGAAAUAAAACGAAAUAAGUACCAUA